GAUGAACGCUAGCGACAGGCUUAACACAUGCAAGUCGAGGGUCAGCGGGGGUAGCGAUACCCGCCGGCGACCGGCGCACGGGUGAGUAACGCGUAUGCAACUUGCCUAUCAGAGGGGGAUAACCCGGCGAAAGUCGGACUAAUACCGCAUGAAGCAGGGGCCCCGCAUGGGGAUAUUUGCUAAAGAUUCAUCGCUGAUAGAUAGGCAUGCGUUCCAUUAGGCAGUUGGCGGGGUAACGGCCCACCAAACCGACGAUGGAUAGGGGUUCUGAGAGGAAGGUCCCCCACAUUGGUACUGAGACACGGACCAAACUCCUACGGGAGGCAGCAGUGAGGAAUAUUGGUCAAUGGCCGAGAGGCUGAACCAGCCAAGUCGCGUGAGGGAUGAAGGUUCUAUGGAUCGUAAACCUCUUUUAUAAGGGAAUAAAGUGCGGGACGUGUCCCGUUUUGUAUGUACCUUAUGAAUAAGGAUCGGCUAACUCCGUGCCAGCAGCCGCGGUAAUACGGAGGAUCCGAGCGUUAUCCGGAUUUAUUGGGUUUAAAGGGUGCGUAGGCGGCCUUUUAAGUCAGCGGUGAAAGUCUGUGGCUCAACCAUAGAAUUGCCGUUGAAACUGGGGGGCUUGAGUAUGUUUGAGGCAGGCGGAAUGCGUGGUGUAGCGGUGAAAUGCAUAGAUAUCACGCAGAACCCCGAUUGCGAAGGCAGCCUGCCAAGCCAUUACUGACGCUGAUGCACGAAAGCGUGGGGAUCAAACAGGAUUAGAUACCCUGGUAGUCCACGCAGUAAACGAUGAUCACUAGCUGUUUGCGAUACACUGUAAGCGGCACAGCGAAAGCGUUAAGUGAUCCACCUGGGGAGUACGCCGGCAACGGUGAAACUCAAAGGAAUUGACGGGGGCCCGCACAAGCGGAGGAACAUGUGGUUUAAUUCGAUGAUACGCGAGGAACCUUACCCGGGUUUGAACGCAUUCGGACCGAGGUGGAAACACCUUUUCUAGCAAUAGCCGUUUGCGAGGUGCUGCAUGGUUGUCGUCAGCUCGUGCCGUGAGGUGUCGGCUUAAGUGCCAUAACGAGCGCAACCCUUGCCACUAGUUACUAACAGGUAAAGCUGAGGACUCUGGUGGGACUGCCAGCGUAAGCUGCGAGGAAGGCGGGGAUGACGUCAAAUCAGCACGGCCCUUACAUCCGGGGCGACACACGUGUUACAAUGGCGUGGACAAAGGGAGGCCACCUGGCGACAGGGAGCGAAUCCCCAAACCACGUCUCAGUUCGGAUCGGAGUCUGCAACCCGACUCCGUGAAGCUGGAUUCGCUAGUAAUCGCGCAUCAGCCAUGGCGCGGUGAAUACGUUCCCGGGCCUUGUACACACCGCCCGUCAAGCCAUGGGAGCCGGGGGUACAUGAAGUCCGUAACCGAAAGGAUCGGCCUAGGGUA
rnacentral:rRNA from 1 species